rnacentral:rRNA from 1 species
GACGAACGCUGGCGGCGUGCCUAAUACAUGCCAGUCGAGCGAACGGACGAGAAGCUUGCUUUUCUGAUGUUAGCGGCGGACGGGUGAGUAACACGUGGAUAACCUACCUAUAAGACUGGGAUAACUUCGGGAAACCGGAGCUAAUACCGGAUAAUAUUUUGAACCGCAUGGUUCAAAAGUGAAAGACGGUCUUGCUGUCACUUAUAGAUGGAUCCGCGCUGCAUUAGCUAGUUGGUAAGGUAACGGCUUACCAAGGCAACGAUGCAUAGCCGACCUGAGAGGGUGAUCGGCCACACUGGAACUGAGACACGGUCCAGACUCCUACGGGAGGCAGCAGUAGGGAAUCUUCCGCAAUGGGCGAAAGCCUGACGGAGCAACGCCGCGUGAGUGAUGAAGGUCUUCGGAUCGUAAAACUCUGUUAUUAGGGAAGAACAUAUGUGUAAGUAACUGUGCACAUCUUGACGGUACCUAAUCAGAAAGCCACGGCUAACUACGUG